GAUGAACGCUGGCGGCGUGCCUAAUACAUGCAAGUCGAGCGAACAGACGAGGAGCUUGCUCCUUUGACGUUAGCGGCUGACGGGUGUGUAACACGUAGGUAACCUACCUAUAAGACUUGUAUAACUUCGUGAAACCGGAUCUAAUACCGGAUAAUAUUUCUAACCGCAUGGUUCUUUAGUUAAAGAUGGCUUUGCUAUCUCUUAUAGAUUUACCUUCGCCGUAUUAGCUAGUUGGUAAGGUAACGGCUUACCAAGGCAACGAUACGUAGCCGACCUGAGAGGGUGAUCGGACAAACUGGAACUGAGACACGGACAAGAGAACUACGGGAGGCAGCAGAAGGGAAUAUUCCGAAAUGGGCGAAAGCAUGACGGAGCAAAGCCGCGUGAGUGAUGAAGGUCUUAGGAUCGUAAAACACUGUUAUUAGGGAAGAACAAAAGUGUAAGAAAAUGUGCACGUAAUGACGGUAACUAAUCAGAAAGCAACGGCUAACUACGUG
rnacentral:rRNA from 1 species